rnacentral:lncRNA from 1 species
GAGGCAGACAGAUUACCUGAGGUCAGGAGUUCGAGACCAGCCUGCCCAACAUGGUGAAACCCUGUCUCUACUAAAAAUACAAAAAUUAGCUGUGCGUGGUGGCACACACCUGUAAUCCCAGCUACUCGGGAGGCUGAGGCAAGAGCAUCGCUUGAACCCAGGAGGCAGAGGUUGCAGUGAGCCGAGAUCACACCACUGCAUUCCAGCCUGGGUAACAGAGCAAGACUCUGUCUUAAAAAAAAAAAAAAAAGACUGGACAUCACUUAGUCUUUGAUCUCUCAGUCAAGCACUACAA